AUUAAAAUAACUAGAAUAAGAAAUAGAAAUAUAUCAAAACGGUUUAGCUUAAUUUUAGUUCAGUUCAGUUCAGCUUAGCUCAACUUCAUUUCCUAAUUUACUUUUCUCAUAAACAAUUGAGUUUAGCUUAGUUCAGACCUUAAGAUUCUGUCACCAAAAAAAAAAAAAGUAUCACCCUAAGAGAUCGAAUCAAAGUAUCAAGUAAUCAAACAUUCAAACCCAUGCUACUUUUCAUAUUUUACCUCUUUUAAUAAUUUUCUGAAAAAAAACGUCAGUUGUUCUACUAAUGGAGUUUGCAACGCUCAUUGCUUCACCACUCCACCGCCAGUUUGCCAUUCCUCUGUACGGCCUUGUCGUUGAAACACCGCCCCUCUGCACGGCCACACCGAAGCAUCGCUGCGCCACGACUGUACUAUCAAGAUAUACUUUCAGGAAUAUAAAAGAUGUGAUAGAGUCAUCACACCAACUAUGAGGGGGUGCAGAUUUGGUAUGCGCUCUUCCUUAGCUGAGUAAAUAAAGCAAAUUUUAAACAAGAUAUAAGAGAUUACUCCUGCUGCUACUACCAUACUUGUUGCUGCUGUUACCACGCUAUUGCUAGUUUGCUACUACUGCUGCACUGCCAUUAAAGCAUCGCUGCCAUUUCCAUGUGCUACACUAAGUUACAAGAGAAUAGUUUAUAUUAUGAUAAACAUUUUCUAGUCUGUUUUUUGUAAUGUAAAGACAUAUUGUAUUAGAUUUUGAACUUUUAUCUAUGUAUAAUUGAGAUAAUAUUAAUUAAUCA